CCUACGGGGGACAGCAGUGAGGAAUAUUGGUCAAUGGUCGGGAGACUGAACCAGCCAAGCCGCGUGAGGGAUGAAGGUACAGAGUAUCGUAAACCUCUUUUGUCAGGGAACAAAGGCGGGGACGUGUCCCCGGAUGAGUGUACCUGAAGAAAAAGCAUCGGCUAACUCCGUGCCAGCAGCCGCGGUAAUACGGAGGAUGCGAGCGUUAUCCGGAUUUAUGGGGUUUAAAGGGUGCGCAGGCGGUCUGUUAAGUCAGCGGUCAAAGCCCGGGGCUCAACCCCGGCCCGCCGUUGAAACUGGCAGUCUCGAGUUGGAGAGAAGUAUGCGGAAUGCGCGGUGUAGCGGUGAAAUGCAUAGAUAUCGCGCAGAACUCCGAUUGCGAAGGCAGCAUGCCGGCUCCACACUGACGCUGAGGCACGAAAGCGUGGGUAUCGAACAGGAUUAGAUACCCUGGUAGUC
rnacentral:rRNA from 1 species